GGGUCAUUUACACCAUAUGGUUAAGGGUCAUUUACACCAUAUGGGUUAAGGGUCAUUUACACCAUAUGGGUUAAGGGUCAUUUACACCAUAUGGGUUAAGGGUCAUUUACACCAUAUGGGUUAAGGGUCAUUUACACCAUAUGGGUUAAGGGUCAUUUAC